rnacentral:rRNA from 1 species
GACGAACGCUGGCGGCGUGCCUAAUACAUGCAAGUUGAGCGCUGAAGGUUGGUACUUGUACCAACUGGAUGAGCAGCGAACGGGUGAGUAACGCGUGGGUAAUCUGCCUUUGAGCGUGGGACAACAUUUGGAAACGAAUGCUAAUACCGCAUAAAAACUUUAAACACAAGUUUUAAGUUUGAAAGAUGCAAUUGCAUCACUCAAAGAUGAUCCCGCGUUGUAUUAGCUAGUUGGUGAGGUAAAGGCUCACCAAGGCGAUGAUACAUAGCCGACCUGAGAGGGUGAUCGGCCAAAUUGGGAAUGGGACACGGCCCAAACUCCUACGGGAGGCAGCAGUAGGGAAUCUUCGGCAAUGGACGAAAGUCUGAACGAGCAACGCCGCGUGAGUGAAGAAGGUUUUCGGAUCGUAAAAAUCUGUUGGUAGAGAAGAACGUUGGUGAGAGUGGAAAGCUCAUCAAGUGACGGUAACUACCCAGAAAGGGACGGCUAACUACGUG